UAAAAGUUUGAUCCUUGCUUGAAUCUUUGCUAUUAAGUUGAUGUACAUGUAAGUUAAGUCGGGGGAUUUAUUUAAUUUAAAAUAAAAGUUUCUGUUCUCAGUACAAAGAAUUGGUUAAUUUAAUGAAAUUGAACUAGCAAUUUUAAUAAUUCAGGCUAAAUUUGUGCCAGCAGCUGCGGUUAGACUGAUAGGGUAAGUGAAGGUAUGUAAGUAGAUGGUUAGAAUUGUAACUUUAUUAGGGUAUUUUAUUAUAAAGAUAAAGGGUGAAAUCUGGUGUUGUUAAGUAAUAGAAUAUAGUUUUAAAGGGUUUUGAGGCCAUUAAGGUUUUGGUAUAGAACAGGAUUAGAUACCCUGUUAUACAAAGUUAAAAGUUAAUCUCUUGAGUAGUAAACAGUUAUAUUCUUGAAACUUAAAGGAUUUGGCGGUAUCUUAGUCUUGUUAGAGGAACCUGUUCUGUAAACGAUACACCACGAAUUAUCUUACUUUCUCUUGUAUCUCAGUUUGUAUACCGCCAUUGUCAGGUAGUUUUUAUAAAAAUCUAUUGUAAGAAUUGUUAGUUAAUAUAUUAGGUCAAGGUGCAGCUAAUGGGAGAGUAGUUAAUGGGUUACAUUAAUAUUGGUUUAUAACGGAUAGGGAGGAUAAGGCUUCUUUGAAGGUGGAUUUAAUAGUAAUUGUUGUUUAAUAAGCUGUACUGAUAGAAGCUCUAAGAUAUGUACACAUCGCCCGUCGCUCUCACUUUAAUGUGAGAUAAGUCGUAACAUAGUAGGUGUGUUGGAAAAUAUACCUAGAAUUAA
rnacentral:ncRNA from 1 species